CUUGUUCCGGCCCAUUCCAGCCGAAUUCCGGCAUUCCAGCCGGAAUACACUUUCCGGUCCGAAAUUUAACAAACGGUGGCAUUUUUGUAAUUAAGGUUAACUUCACACCAUUUUCGUAAUUUACAUUUUUUCUUCAUUUUUCCUUUGGUUUUUUUUUUCCCCGGUUUCUUACUUCUUCACUUCUUCUCCGUGAGUCCGUGCGCCGUCUGAACUCUGAAGUCUGAAGUCUGAACCUCUUCUCCCAGUCUCGAUUCCUCAUUUCUCCGGUUCCAGUUCUCCCCCCUUGGCGUUUCAGGACUCCAGGAGCACUCCGACGACGCCACCAGCAACGACGCCGUCGCCGUCGCCCGCAACCGGCAGCUCUGGUUUUGGCCUCUGAUUUCGUCCGUCCGAUCUGUGCAGGGGUAUAUAAAUUAUAAAUGUCUAGUUGUCAAUCAAAUAGUGCUACCUCUACGGCAUUUGCUCCUGCUAGAUCAGAGGAUCCAGCAUGGUCCCAUGCACGUGUAGUGCCAGGAGCAAGAAAUAGUACUCAAUGUCUUUAUUGUAGCAAAAUCAUUAGAGGUGGCGGAGUCACGAGGUUGAAGCAUCAUCUAGGUGGGAUUUCAGGUGAUGUAGAAGCAUGUAAAAAAGUCCCUGAUGAUAUAAAAUGGCAAAUGAAAGAGUUGGUCAAUGAAAUGAAAAAAAACAAAGAGAAGAAAAGAAAACUAAGCUUAGAGAUUGGAUGUGGAAGCCCUGUAGAUUUAACAUAUGAUGAUGUUGAUGUUGGUGAUGAUGAGUAUGAGGGAGGGAGUCAAGGACCC